rnacentral:lncRNA from 1 species
UUGUAUUAGGUCGUCAUUAUCGAGUUUCUUGUAUUUUUGAUUGGUUCGACGUCGACACCAUUUAGAGGUUCCUAGCCAUUGUCGUGUUGAUUCGCCUUUUUGUUCGUGACCGUAGAUCUUACUUUCUCUUCCUCCUUCUUCAUGGAGAUGAUGUCCUUUGUGUUUUUAGUGUAGUUUGGCCUUCGUUUUUUGUUGGGGUAGCCCGCCGCUGUUCCUUCAUAUUUCCCUCCUUCUUUUAGGCAAGGAUUCUCUCUAGCUUUUCACAGAGAAGCGGUAGCGUAGAAGGGCCACCAAGAAGGUUUUCUUCUUUCUUGUCGGGUCUCGAAUGGUCGGACCUUAAUUGAUGUCAGGAUGAGGUUCUUCUCCUAUUUCUGAUGUGAUCGGUUUCAGCUCAGG